GGUUGCAUCGGAGCGAUCAAUUUUAAUAUUACGCAUAGAAAUAGAUGUGCAUGGUAAAUUGCAUACCGGUUAUUAUGUUAUUAAAUCAACCUGGAUACCCACAUUCACGUCUGGAUUUGCAGUGGAUUUGUGCAAGGUCCUAAACCUUGAAGCCAAAGAUGAAAAUUGUCCUGUUAUUUGCGGCUUGCAGCGUAAUAGUAAAUGGACGAACUCUUGAAAAUGGUCAAAACAAAAGAGAUCUAAUAAUGAAAGCUUUGCCUGAUAUUCGGAAAAAAGACAUCAGGUUUCCUCAGCAAAUGAUGAAGCUACCGGAUUACCCUUUGUCACAAUAUGACCUCUUUGGAAAUCAAAACGGCCUGAAUGACAAAAGUGAGCCAGAUACAAGCAGUUCUUGAAGUGUUGAUAGACAACCUGGAAAUAUUCAAAGGAAAGUUGUGUUUUAUAGUUAACGAAACAUCUGUUUGCGAUUUAGUUUUAAGGUAUUAGGUAUAAGGUCAUCCUCAAAAAGCAAAUAAAAUUAAAAAGUUCAUGUCAUUCUACAUUUCAGUACAUUUCAGGUAUCUUUCUGAAUUUUCAG